UCCGAGUUGACCCCGGCAGUCUCCUAUGAGUCCCCACCAUCACGUGCUGGCAACAUAGGACGAGGGUUGCGCUCGUUGCGGGACUUAACCCAACAUCUCACGACACGAGCUGACGACAACCAUGCACCACCUGUGCACGGCCCUUACGGACCCCACAUCUCUGCGGGAUUUCCGUGCAUGUCAAGCCUAGGCAAGGUGGGGAUGACGUACCAGUAUCGGAA
rnacentral:misc_RNA from 1 species